GUUUUUGCUUCCUUCGUCGUCGUCUUCCUCCAUUCUUUCUUCGCAGCUGCACAGGUCUCGCUUGCAACAGUCAGAUUUUCUUCAAAUCUAGCAAUCUGAAAGUAGAUCUGGUGGUUUUGUAUCAAGGAAAAUACGUGUUUAGAUGACCCUCCCGGAUCACUCAAAAACCGUUCCAGGUUGAUGGUUCAAUCGGUUCUCUAAGAAUUGCUUGGUCUAACACAGUCUGAAACGGCUCAACUGCCAGAGCGGGUUAAUGGUCCAAACCGAGCCGCCUUCAUGGAUGGUCAACAGGUCGACCGCCCGGUCGAAUUCCUCCCUCACUGUCGGACUGCUUCCUUGCUGCCACUCUUCUCCUGUGCUCACCGAACCUCACUGUUCCUUCUCGUCUCCUGGCCACCGUGAGCUUGCUGUGAUUACUGUCGCUGCUUCACGAUCCUCUGUUUCUUUCUUUCCUCAGUGUUAGUGUGGUGUGCGUUGGUAACCAAGGAGUUUGGGCUUCUUCAAUGUUGUUCCUUCCGUCUUCCUCCAGUGGUCUGCAUGCUUAAGAAUUCAACUAGCAAAGAAGGGAGGCUUAAGGCUUGAAGGUGGGAGGUCAAGAGUUCAAACCAUUACUUUAUCAUAUUUUGCUACAAAUAUGUGACGUGGUGCGAGGUAGUGACGUGGCAUAUGAGGUGGUUUGAGGAGGUAUACACGUGGUAUGUGAUGUGGUGCGAGGUGAUGACGUUAAGCAUUAUGUGGCUUAAGGGGGCACACACAUGGUGGGUGAUGUGGCAGUGAUGGUGACAUGCAUGGUGCAUGAGGUAGCGUGGGAUGUGGCACAAGGUGGUAGGGUGAUGUGGCAUCAUCUGACGAACGCGUGGCCUGUGAUGUGACAUAAGAUGGCAAAUGAUAUAGCAUCAUAUGCCGCAUAUAUGGCAAGUGACAUGGCAUGAGGUGACAUCACGUGGCAGAGUGAUAUGACAUAAGAAUAAAUUAUCAUUUUUUUAAAAAAAAAAUUUGGUGGUGGCAAAAACUAUUAGCGGCAAUAGUUAUAGCGACAACCUUUUAGCGGUGAAAAGUCACUGCUAAAAACUUUAGUGACAACUUUUGGACUUUUGGCAGUGACAAAAGUCUUUCUUUAUGUAGUGAUACUAAUAACAGUUUCGUUAGCUCUUAGCGCACUAUGGUAUACUUAUCUAGCAAAGUGUUUAGGAGGUACUAGCCUCAUACAAUGGUUAACGCACGUGGAAUGGAAGGAUAGUUAUUCGUGAGCAUAUUACUCCUACUUAUUUUUGUGAGAUUUAUGGUCACAUUUGUUUUCAUAGCCUCAAGCUGCGCUUGUCAGUUAUUUAUCCUUGUGGACUAUGUCUAUGUUUGUUAAUCAUUCUAAUAAAGU